rnacentral:rRNA from 1 species
CAGCUAGUUGGUGAGGUAACGGCUCGCCAAGGCUAUGAUCGGUAGCCGGUCUGAGAGGAUGGCCGGCCACACUGGAACUGAGACACGGUCCAGACUCCUACGGGAGGCAGCAGUGGGGAAUAUUGCGCAAUGGGCGAAAGCCUGACGCAGCGACGCCGCGUGGGGGAUGAAGCUUUUCGGAGUGUAAACCCCUUUCGACCCGGACGAAUGACCCGCAAGGGUUUGACGGUACGGGUAUAAGAAGCCCCGGCUAACUACGUGCCAGCAGCCGCGGUAAUACGUAGGGGGCCAGCGUUGCUCGGAAUUACUGGGCGUAAAGGGUUCGUAGGCGGUGCGGCAAGUUGGGAGUGAAAUCUCUGGGCUUAACCCAGAGGCUGCUUUCAAAACUGCCGUGCUC